CCCAACUUUCUUUCUGAAUUUGGACUGACUUGAAGAAGUGGCAUCGCAUUUGAAGGACACCCAAUCAAUCUGUUACCCUCGCUGCAUGAAAUUGUAUUUGCUUCCCGCCUUCUAUCUCGCUGAGCGCAGCUGGGCUGUAAGUCAUUGGUGAUAACAUUCUUUAUUAUGCCGUCCUGUUUAUGAACUGUGCCUGGAAAGAGGUGAUAGAAAUAUGCAGCAAUAUGCAAAGGGACGGGGGGGGGGGGGGAAGGGGGGGAGCAAAUGCUAGUUGCCAGGGCAACAAAGGGGCUAUUUUGGGCAUCGGAUUUUGCGGAUGAUGAAAAAACCAUUUUCUUGCCAUGCUUGGGCUCUCCCCUCCCCCCGCUCCUGGAAGUGAUGAAUUCAGAGCCGAAUAUUUGGGAAAGGGGACGGCUUAAUUUCUUAAUUAAAAAUGAUGCUAUUUUCCCUUCUACCUCCUUUAAACAUGGAUGGAAAAACAAACCUAAGGGUGUUGAUAAGCAUUCUUGAGUGGAAGGCGAGCUUCCGUUCUGGUAGAGAGCGAUGUGUGAAUAAUUUACUAAUCUUCACUGAUCCCCGCCAUCUCCCCCCACCGCACACACCCACCUCUUUUUCCCUACACCGACUUAACUCUGAUAAACUCCCUGAGCAAAAUCCCCGAGCCCUGGACCUCAGCAAAAUCUCAAAAGCCGCAGGUGUUUACAAGCAACCUGAAUUCCAAUGAGUUUCUCGCCAGUUGGCCACCAAGGAGAUGGCUGGGGCUGAGUGGAGACCACAGCUCUGGGCACGGGCGUCCGCACGAACAAAGGAGGGGACCCUGCUCCUGUCCCUCCAGCCACGCAGAAGAUUUCCCCGGGGAGGGGGCUUACCCUCUGCGGGCGCCGAGCCCCGCCCACAAGCCUGGCGUGUCCGCACCCACGGGGCGGCGUGUGCGCGCCCUCUGGAUCCGUGCCCGGGGCGGGCCGUCCGGAGCGCUGCGACCGUGUUCACGAGAAGGAGGAGCUGGUGUUUCCACCUGGCCGCCUCCGGAUUGUUGCUUCCCUGGUUCUCCAGGAUCUGGAAGUGGCAGCUUGUGAUUUUAAUACCAAAGAGAGCCGAGGGCGUGGAGAGGCAGAGCCACCUCCACUAGCAGGGAGCUCCCAGAGACCUUCGGGUCGAUAAGCAACAGUGGACGCAGGGCUCUCCUUUCCAAGGAGUUAUGCCGGCUGAAUGUACUGCUUCGUAAAUGCCAAUGUCCCGUGACUCGGGGGGCGGGGGGGAGCGGGCUUCGCAGCUGUGACACUGUUGACAGGUGUGACGGGAGAGUCCUGCCCAUUGCGGGGCGGGAGCAGCAUCCCUGGUCCCCACCCACUUUGUGCCUGCAGCCCCACUCCUCGUGACAGCCGCAGAUGCCUUCAGACGUUGUCAGUUAUCUGCUGGGGCGCAAGCCCGCGCCUGGUUGAGGACAACGGAUGGAGAACACCGUUUCCCAAGGUGUAUUCCGGGGAACCGAGUCUCGUGGGACCCUGCUAACAGCUACUCUCCGAGAAACAACCAGGUUCCAGUAUGAGCUAAUUUGAGACCCUGUGGGCUAGAGGAAGUUCAUCCGUGCUGGCUCUGCUCUGACCUCGUUUUUCCCGGCCUCGUGUGCUUUCCUGCGUACCCGCUGCUCCCACUCAUGCACAGCCUCCCCCGUGAUCAACACCCCCACCAGAGCGUACAUUUGUUGCAACGGAUGAGGCUCCGUGGACGCGUCCUAUCACCCAAAGUCCACAGUUUACAUUAAGCUUCGCUCCUGGUAUUGGACACGUUAUGGGUUUGGACAAAUGCAAAAUGACGUGUUUUCACCAUUACGGUAUCAUCCAGAGCAGUUUCACGGCCCUGAAAAUCUUCAGGGCUCCCCCCACUCAUCCCUCCCUCCUUGCCCUGCCAACCCCGGGCAGCCACUGAUCCUUCUACUGUCCCCAUAGUCCUGCCUUUUCCAGAACGUCAGACAGAAUCACACAGUCUGUACUCUCUUCAGACCGGCUUCUUUCACGUAGUGAGAUGCAUUUAAGGUUCCUCCGUCUCUUUUCGUGGCUUGAUAGCUCAUUUCUUUUUGUGCUGAAUAACAUUCUGCUGUCUGGCUGGACCGCAGUCUGUUUAUCCCUUCACCUACUCAAGGGCAUCUUGGCUGCCCCCCAAGUUUUGGCAAGCAUGAAUCAAGUUGCUAUAAGCAAUCCACGUGCAGGUUUUUGUGCGGAGGUAAGUUUUCCCCUCCUUUGGGUGAAUACCCUGGAACACGAUUGCUGGGUCGUGUGGUAAGAGUCUGCUUAGUUUCAUAAGAAACUGCCAAACUGGCUUCCACAGUGGCUGCGCCAUUUUGCAUCCCCACCAGCGGUGAGUGAGUUCCUCCUACUCCAUAUCUUCACCGGCGUUGGGUGUUGGGCCAAUCUAAGAGGCAUGUAGUGGUGUCUCAUUGUUGCUUUAAUUUGUAUUUCCCUAAUGACAUGAUGUAAAGCAUACUUUCAUGCUUAUUUGCCAUCUUAUAUCUCCUUUGGAGAGCUGUCAAAGUCUUUGGCCCAUCUUUAAUUGGGCUGCUUGUUUUCUUAUUGUUGAAUUAUAGGAGUUCUUUAUAUAUAUCAGGUAAUAGUCCCUUAUCAGAUGUGUCCUUUGCAAAUACUGUCUCUCAGUCUGUGGCUCGUCUCCUCAUUCUUUUGAACCCACUUUUUGCAGAACAGUGGUUUUUAAUCUUAAUGAAGCUGGGCUUAUCAAGGAUUUCUUUCAU